AGCGAACGCUGGCGGCAGGCCUAACACAUGCAAGUCGAACGAACCCUUCGGGGUUAGUAGCGGACGGGUGAGUAACACGUGGGAACGUGCCUUUAGGUUCGGAAUAACUCAGGGAAACUUGUGCUAAUACCGAAUGUGCCCUUCGGGGGAAAGAUUUAUCGCCUUUAGAGCGGCCCGCGUCUGAUUAGCUAGUUGGUAAGGUAAUGGCUCACCAAGGCUACGAUCAGUAGCUGGUCUGAGAGGAUGACCAGCUACAUUGGGACUGAGACCCGGCCCAAACUCCUACGGGAGGCAGCAGUGGGGAAUCUUGCGCAAUGGGCGAAAGCUUGACGCAGCCAUGCCGCGUGGAUGAUGAAGGUCUUAGGAUUGUAAAAUCCUUUCACCGGUGAAGAUAAUGACUGUAGCCGGAGAAGAAGCCCCGGCUAACUUCGUGCCAGCAGCCGCCGUAAGAC
rnacentral:rRNA from 1 species